CACGUAGGGCGCGAGCGUUGUCCGGAAUUAUUGGACGUAAAGAGCUCGUAGGCGGCCUGUUGCGUCCGCUGUGAAAUCCCGGGGCUCAACCGUGGAACCGCUGGGUAUACUGGUUGUCUUGAGCCGGCUAGGGGCGAGCGGAACAGACGGUGGAGCGGUGAAAUGCGUAGAUAUCGUCUGGAACGCCGAAGGUGAAAAAAGCUCGCUGGGGCCGCGCUGACGCUGAGACACGAAAGCCAGGGGAGCGAACGGG
rnacentral:rRNA from 1 species